UUAAAAAUCAUGAACACUGUUAAAAAACCUAAAGGAACUUCUUAAAUGAUUGUUAUAGAAGCAAAUAAAAAGACUAAGGGGGCCAAACACCCCCUAAGCAACUAUAAGUUUCUAACUGAAAACCCUAGAUUUGUUUUUGAAGAAUAAAGUGAAGAGGAAACCCUGCAAGAAUGUCGAAGUUUUGAGCGAUUAGUUUGAGCAAAUUUCCGGCUGCAGAUCCAGAUCCCAUAUUUGAUCAGAAGUAGCAAUUUGGUUAACGAAAUCGGAAAAGAGAAGAAAGUGUGAGUUGAGAUGUCGGUCUGUCAGAGGAUUUGGUUUGAUGUUGUU
rnacentral:lncRNA from 1 species